rnacentral:rRNA from 1 species
GGUUUGAUAUGCCUGGCCCGCCACGGUUACGUGUGUGUGCGCCGGUGCGUGUCUGCCAUCCUUCUGGAAAACGUGUCUACCCUUCACUGGGCCGGAUACGCGAUCCAGAUCUUUUACUUUGAAAAAAUUAGAGUGUUUAAAGCAGGCAUUUUGCUAUGAAUACAUUAGCAUGGAAUAAUAAUUUAGGACUUUGGUCCUAUUUUGUUGGUUUCUAGGACCGAAGUA